UACGUAGGGUGCAAGCGUUGCCCGGAUUUAUUGGGCGUAAAGGGCGCGUAGGCGGCUCUGCACGUUCGUUGUGAAAUCGCCCGGCUCAACUGGGCGGGGUCAGCGGAUACGGCAGAGCUUGAGCAAGCUAGGGGGCAAUGGAAUUCCCGGUGUAGUGGUGGAAUGCGUAGAUAUCGGGAGGAACACCAGUGGCGAAGGCGGCGAUCUGGGAAGAUACUGACGCUGAGGUGCGAAAGCGUGGGGAGCAAACAGG
rnacentral:rRNA from 1 species